rnacentral:rRNA from 1 species
UGGGGAAUAUUGCACAAUGGAGGGAACUCUGAUGCAGCGACGCCGCGUGAACGAAGAAGGCUUUCGAGUCGUAAAGUUCUUUUAUAUGGGAAGAUAAUGACGGUACCAUAAGAAAAAGCCCCGGCUAACUACGUGCCAGCAGCCGCGGUAAUACGUAGGGGGCUAGCGUUGUCCGGAAUCACUGGGCGUAAAGGGUUCGCAGGCGGAAAUGCAAGUCAGGUGUAAAAGGCAGUAGCUUAACUACUGUAAGCAUUUGAAACUGCAUAUCUUGAGAAGAGUAGAGGUAAGUGGAAUUUUUGGUGUAGCGGUGAAAUGCGUAGAUAUUAAAAAGAAUACCGGUGGCGAAGGCGACUUACUGGGCUCAUUCUGACACUGAGGAACGAAAGCGUGGGUAGCAAACAGG